rnacentral:piRNA from 1 species
UAGGUUUGAUUGCAAGACCAAACUCAAUGG